CCCCGAUCUCUCUUCUUCCCCUUCCUCUUCCUCUUUCUCUCCUCCCCUUUCUUUUUCCCGAUUUCCUAUGUUUUCCGUUCCUUGCAGCUCUAGGUGUUUAUUAUUGCUUUCUUUUCACGUUUAGGCUUUUAGUUUCUUGCUCAGUUUCUUGUCCAGAGAUUUUGAUUGAACUCUGUUUAUCUAUAUCUUUUGUCGUUGUGGCCCAUGGAUUCAAUUGCCUCCCCCUCAAAGUCAUACACACCCAUCGGGCGAUCUGGGCCUCUGGCUUGCUAUUGCGAGACAAUGAAAUUUAGAUGGAGGAGGGAGGCGAGUUCCACUGCUGGGGUGAACUAAUACCCGAUGCUCUCGGGCUAAUCUUCAAAAAUCUUUCUCUUCAGGAAAUUCUUACUGUGAUUCCGAGGGUCUGCAAAUCUUGGAAUAGAGCAAUAAUGGGUCCCUAGUGCUGGCAAGAGAUUGACAUUAAGGAGUGGAGCCUCCAGUGCCAGCUUGAGCAGGUAGAUCGAAUGCUUAAAAUGCUCAUCACAAGAAGUUGUGGUUCCCUACGCAAACUUUGUGUGUCUGGCCUUCCCAAUGAGCCUCUUCUCUCCUUCAUUGCAGACCAUUCUACAUCCCUUCAGACUUUGCAGUUGUCGAUGAGUGAAAUAAGUGAUUCAAUGGCGGAACAGGUAGCAGGGAGGUUGUCUACCAUCUCUUUCUUGGACCUAAGCUACUGUAAGAAUAUUGGUGCCUGUGCAUUAGAGGCGAUAGGAAAGCACCGUAAAUUGCUAGUUGGGGAAGAAGAGAGAUCCGGGGAGAGAGAGAGAAAAGGAGGACUUCGGAAGUCCGUUGUUAUAGCUACCGCCACUACUAUUCGUGUAUUUUUCACUGGGUCUUUGUCUCAUAGUCAGUACAGGGGGGUCUUUGUCACAA